UGAAGAGCUAUUCAUGAGGU
rnacentral:miRNA from 1 species